UACCAGCACCCCGAGUGGUCGGGACGUUUAUUGGGCCUAAAGCAUCCGUAGCCGGUUCUACAAGUCUUCCGUUAAAUCCACCUGCUCAACAGAUGGGCUGCGGAAGAUACUAUGGAGCUAGGAGGCGGGAGAGGCAAGCGGUACUCGAUGGGUAGGGGUAAAAUCCGUUGAUCCAUUGAAGACCACCAGUGGCGAAGGCGGCUUGCCAGAACGCGCUCGACGGUGAGGGAUGAAAGCUGGGGGGAGCGAACCGG
rnacentral:rRNA from 1 species